rnacentral:rRNA from 1 species
AAAUUGAAGAGUUUGAUCAUGGCUCAGAUUGAACGCUGGCGGCAGGCCUAACACAUGCAAGUCGAACGGUAACAGGAAGCAGCUUGCUGCUUUGCUGACGAGUGGCGGACGGGUGAGUAAUGUCUGGGAAACUGCCUGAUGGAGGGGGAUAACUACUGGAAACGGUGGCUAAUACCGCAUAACGUCGCAAGACCAAAGAGGGGGACCUUCGGCCUCUUGCCAUCAGAUGUGCCCAGAUGGGAUUAGCUUGUUGGUGAGGUAACGGCUCACCAAGGCG